UUUGACUCUUAUCAACACCCAAUCGUGUUGUGGCAUCUUCCCCACGAAAUAAAACCAAUCAAAGACCAAUCAAACAAUCAAAUCGUUUUCAACACUUUAGCAUAAUUCAUCUUGUUGGAGACGAGACCGAGAUUUUCAUUUUCAUUAAUUGAGGCAAAGAAACGGUACAGCCAACCACCAACCGAUCAGAUCUCGUGUGCUGCGGCAACAAAAUCGCUGAUAAGCAUCGCCAUGGACAGAAAACACAUCGAGAAAAGAAAUCAACAGAUGAUCGAGCUCGGCUGGUGGUCUCUCUUCUUUUGGCCUGGUCAAAAUGUCAAACUUCUUCGGGCCCGAGGCCUCAUUAGCGUGGCAAGUGUGGAGCAGUGUCAGCCUGCGACAUCGACGCCUGGCCAGGUGUAAAUGUAAAUAAUCUUGGCCACGUUGACACUGCACUAGACUGCACCACAUGAGGGCGAGGGAAACCCAGCCAGCAACCAGUGUCUCUGCCGGCCAGCCAUAAAAUGUCGGAUUUUUAAUUAAUUUUUGUUUGGUAUUUUUCAAAUGUUUCUUUCUCAACGAAGCUAUCUUUGGCCAAAGAUCUUAAGUCAGAAAAUGAUUUUGUCCCAAGAUAUUGAUGCAGAAAUUGAUUUUUAAUUUUAUUUGCUUUCAAAAGUUAAUUUCAUGUAAUUUUAUGCAUCGCUGAUAAGAAGGCUCUAAUUUGUAAAAUCUAUUGUGAACAUUAGAAUACUAAAAUUAAGAAAUUUAAAAUGUACUUAUGGUACAUGGUACUUA